AAGGAUGGAUCCUUGCGGAUCAGAAGAGAAGAUCAGAGUAGCGCAGUGGAAGCAGGAGGAGUUUUAGGAGAAAGUUUAGAGGUCUUGCUUGCUUGAUUGCUUGCUUGAUGUGUAUGUACGAUGAUAUGUUCUUAUGUUAUGUUUUUAUGCAUGAGUAGUUGAGGAACAUUCGGGGACGAAUGUUCUGUAAGGGGGGAAGAAUGUAAUACCCGGCUAGAAUCNNN
rnacentral:lncRNA from 1 species